rnacentral:rRNA from 1 species
GACAGAGGUCCCGAGCGUUGUUCGGAUUCAUUGGGCGUAAAGGGUGUGUAGGAGGUUGGGUAAGUCAGGUGUGAAAUCUCAGAGCUUAACUCUGAAACUGCGCUUGAUACUGCUCAGCUAGAGGAUCGGAGGGGGUAACGGAAUUCAUGGUGUAGCAGUGAAAUGCGUAGAUAUCAUGAGGAACACCGGUGGCGAAGGCGGUUACCUGGAAGAUUCCUGACUCUGAAACACGAAAGCCAGGGGAG